CAUACACUACCUUAGCCCUAAUAUUACUAUCACCACUACCAUCAUUAUAAUUAUCUUUUCAACAUUACCCUAUACCACCAUACAUCAUCAUCAAGAUUUGGGUCAUCACAAAGUGAUUUGGUUUGCACCUGGCUGAAAUAUAAAAAAAAAGAAUUUCAAGAUUUGGAGCACUAAUAUAUUUCUCAUAGGGUCUAUAUUCCUUUUUGGGAGCUAAGGUAUAAUAAUUGUGUGUUAAUAAUGUUUCGUUAGUUGAAAAAGGUCUAUAUUUAACCUAUAUCUAUUAUCAUAGAACACUCUAAAUAUUUUACAUGAAAAUUAGGAUUUCGUGGGAUCAAGCAUACAUUAAUUCUCAGAGUCACUCCUGCAAUCAAGCUAGAUUCUCCACAUUCGAGAUUAAGGUUCUAAAACUUAGAGAGUCGGUGGCAAGUGAGACCUUGGAGGCUUGUGUGUGUACUCGCUGAGGAUCAUAUAACUGAGGGUGGUCUAGGGCACGCUCCAUUUAUUUUAUUUAGAGUUAUUAGACUAAUGUCGCAGUUAUUUUGAUUUAUUAAUUAUUAUGUCUUUUAAGUCCAAAUUGAGCUCAAAUAUGAAUAUUUUAUGUUUAUAAAUAAAAGCGACAUUAUAGAUUUUCCGCA